CAGAGGUCCCAAGCGUUGUUCGGAUUCACUGGGCGUAAAGGGUGCGUAGGUGGCAGGGUAAGUCGGAUGUGAAAUCUCCGAGCUCAACUCGGAAAUGGCAUUGGAAACUACCCAGCUCGAGGGUUGGAGGGGGGACUGGAAUACUUGGUGUAGCAGUGAAAUGCGUAGAUAUCAAGUGGAACACCAGUGGCGAAGGCGAGUCCCUGGACAACUCCUGACACUGAGGCACGAAAGCUAGGGGAGCAAACAGGAUUAGAUACCCUGGUAGUCCUAGCCGUAAACGGUGCACGUUUGCUGUAAAAGGAAUCGACCCCUUUUGUGGCGUAGCCAACGCGUUAAACGUGCCGCCUGGGAAGUACGGUCGCAAGAUUA
rnacentral:rRNA from 1 species